UCAAUGCCUUUGUAACUUUAACUAGAAUAAUUCUAUUAUUAAAACAGUGAAUAUUCACUAUUAUUGCCAUCUGAUAGAUAUCAGGUAGAAUUUUAUUAAGAUCAUUAUAGAGUUUUAUUACUCAAAGCUUAUUAGAAAAUUAGAUUAUGCCAUCUACUUAUGAGAAAAUUUUACUUCAGAGAAAUUCUAUUUCUCACAAACCCUAAUACCUCUGGCUGUAUAUAAACCAUCCCAUCUCCUUCUUUUCUGAAUGAUAAAGCAGCUUGUUUUUCUUUUACAAACACAUUAUUAUCUUGAGGAACAGAGGGACAUUGAGAAACUCCCUCCCAAGAGUAGUAACCAGUUGAUGCUUUCUUCCAGUGCAAUUUCACACAGUCCAUCAAGACCUGCAGGAUCUGAUGCAGCCUUUGUCUCCAGGCUUGUCUGUCGUUUCUUCUACCCCAGAGUCAGCAAAGAACAUGGUGUAUAACUACCUGCACUCAUAUCCAGGUGUCUCCAACUCUCCAACUGCUGUUAGCCUUUUCACAACUUUGAUUUUUUUUUUUUUUUUUUUUUUUGGUCUGUAAGUAGAAACAAUAAUAGACCCUGCCUGAUGGGGCUCUUGUGAAGUUUAGAUGAAAUAAUGCACAUAACAUGAUGACAUAUGAUAUAUACUCAGUAAUGUUAGCUGUUAGUAUUAAUCUGGAUAGUUACUCCUGGCAAAAAAACUUUUCUUACCCACUCAAACCAGGAUGGGUGCCCCCAUUUUACAUUUCUGUAGAAUCUUGUCCUUCCUUGUAAUACUCAUCAUACUUUUAAAUACUUAUUUAAGGUCUGUGUUCUCAGCUAGAUUAUAUACACUUCAAGAACAAAUCUGGUUUUAUGAUUAUUAUUAAUAUCCAUUAUGUCUAGCACACAGCCUACAAAGGAAUAUCUGUUAAAUGAAUUAAAGUUAAUGCUAAAGCUAUAAGACUGAUGAGUUCUUUGGGAAGACAUUCAAGUAUCUCAAUUAUAAUUUUUAAAAAUUGGUCAAUUUGAAAGAAUUAUUGAGAGAAAUAGGCAUUGUGCUACAUCUUAGUUUGUGAUAUGAUUCAGAGGAAAACAUAAUAACAGUAGUGACACUUACUUUAUAGUGCUUUAUAGUAUAUUCAUACCUAUAAUUCCAUUCCAGAAGCUCACAGAAUAUUAGAGAUGGAAGACACUCCAGAGUCAUCGCACCCAAAUCUUCAUUUGAGAGAUAAGGAAACCAAAAGCCACCAUUGCACCAAGAGUCACUGAAUUCUCCAAAACACGUCCCACAGAAAGGGUGUCAGAAAAGCCCUUGGACUCUAACCAUGCAUUCGAUGAGCUCACAAGUCUGAACCAUAAGUUUCCUGAGCAUCACUUAAAUAGCUUGUGAAAGGACAGGAAGUCCCACAAAAAUGGGCAGACAGAAAUAGAAGAUGGAAUUACAAUUCAGUGGUCCACACAGAGUCUUUCCUAGUGUGUCUUGAGCCAGCAGCAAAGGGUGGCACUCAAGGCUCAGGGUGAAGUGAAGCACAGUAAGCUAGGUGAAGCAGAUGGGAGCUGCUCUGGAGAGACCCACAGCAGCCGUCCAUGUAGGACUCAUUUCCUGCUUUGAGCCAAAUGGGUUUAUCAAACGCAGCCCUCUGUACUGUUUUCUGGCCAACAUGGAGAAAUGCACCUGGCAUCUGCCUAUGCAUUCUGUCUUUUUUGCCAAAUGCAGGGAUCUCCCCUUGGCUUUCAACAUGGAACACCCGGAAUCAGAUGGAAAAUCCCUCCGUUAGUCAAGUACAUGGGAAAUGCUCUCUGAUAAUGCUGUGGAAGAGAAUGAUCGUCCACAUACACAAAAGUUCAAUUAAGUUCAUUUGUUCAUGGCUCAAGCCUAUGUGCUAGGAAUCAGGACUGACUGCCCAGUACCCUGACUUUGGCUCCUCUGCAGCCUGCAUACAGAGCUGUAGGGGCCAAGGGCAGGCUGCCCAAAAUGUACCACUUUGGCAUAUUGAUUAUUUUGAAUAAAAGUUACUUAAGAGAUAGCCUGUGCAAGAAGGACACUCAGACAGUUCCCCGUCCCCCUGAAAGCAGGAAACAAAUCUCCCCUGUGAAAGCUACCCUCCCUGCACAAGAAGUAAAGAGACAUCCUAAUUGCCAGAGAUAGGAAAUUUAGAGCCAAGAAGGCUGUGUGAACAACCCUUGUUACUUUUUACUAAUUUACUACCACAGCCCAAAUUCUGUUUAGAAUUCCUUACUAAUUGAAGUUCCUAAAGCUAAGUUUUCUUUGUCCUGUCAAUGCCUCACAGAUUUAUUGUUUCUUUGGGUAAAAAGUAUAAAAACUGCUUGCUCUGGUCAUUUCUUUGGGUCUCAAUUUCAUUAUUGGGUCUCUGUGUGUACCUAAUGCAACUGGGUUUUUUUUCAUGUUAAUCUGUCUUAUGUAAAUUUAAUUCUUAUUUUUUCAUUUUAGAGAGAGGGAGAGUACACAAGUGGGGGAGAGGGGCAGAGGGAGAGAGAAAGAGAGAGAGAGAGAGAGAGAGAGAGAGAAUCUCAAGCAGGCUCCACAUUCAGUGCACAGCCUGACACAGGGCUCAAUUCCACGACCCAGGGAUUGUGACCUGAGCCGAAAUCAAGAGUUGGACUCUCAACUGACUCGGCUACCCAGGCAACCCUGUAAAUUUCAUUCUUGGUCCAGCUAGAAAGAUCUUAGACCCAGGAAAAUUUUUUUCUCCCCUUCAGGGGAUACCUGACAGAGGUCCCAGAACACCUGAGGAGAAUGGGUGACCCAGUGGGAUACUUAGUAAUAGCAGGGUUGAAAUGGGGGAAGUUGAAAGGUCAAGGACCUUUUUAAAAAAAAAACACACAAAUUCACACUCAGUCUUUAUUUUUCACUUUUCUUUUCCUUCUUGAUAGCAAGUGGGGGCAGGACAAAGAUCUGGCUUGGAAGACGAGUGACGUGCCUUGGUGCAGUGACACACAAACCAUCCAGAGUUGGGCUUGCUGUGACUGUUGGUGGUGCUUUCUCCUGGGCACCUCUCCCUCUCAUAGGGUGAUCUGGACAGGUCCCAUCAUUUGUGGCCUGCAGUAGAUGAUGACUUAAUAGAGAACUCAGAUAUUAGAAGCACAGAGGGAGUCCAGACCCCAGGCCCAAGUUUACAGAAACAAUGGAGCUGCCAGACCUGAAAGCACACAGCCUAUAAUGAGAGGCAGUUUGGCAAAGGUUAGGAUGGAUGGAGAACUGGUGAUUGAAGUUGGAGGUCCCCAGCAUCUAUGUACUCUGUGCCAGAUGAGGAAAUUGAGGUACAGAGAGAUUUGUAACUCACCCAAGGCUACCCAGCUAGGAAGGUGCAGGCAGAGCUGAGACUCACACUUGGAGUCUGGCUCCAGGUUCUGUGCUCUUCAACACAGUGCUAAGCUGACCAUGCACUGAAGGAACAGGGAUUACAGUCUGCCCUCUCUCAACCUGGAUACCAGCUUUGGUUUGUUGUCUGAAUGACAGAAUCCUUCAUGUACCACAGGCAAGACUGUGGUCCUUCCAAAAGGUGCUGCAUUCAAAGAAGCAUCCCAAGCCCAGCCUCCCCUCUCCAUGUCCCUGCACACUCUGACCAGGAAAUUGCUUCAGAUUCCCUGACUUUGAUUAAGCUUAUAGGACCCAUUCCUGUGUUUCUGCAGUCUCCUAUCAACAACACUUGCAAAGUGGCCUUAAUCAGUUGUCAUCACUGCUUGCCCCUCCCCCCACCCCGCAAAAGGAAAUCUUCCAAGGUGAGGAGAAAUCUUCUUGGUCUGGUGGGAGCCUACCUUUCUCUAACACACAAACAUGGUAGUCUGUGUCCAGAUUUUCUGGUCCUGACUUCAAAUUUUCCAAUGUUGCAUUAAAUUAUGCAUAUUUUUAUGCUAAAAUAUGUGUUUCUUUUCAUGGUAUUUUAUUCAGUAAA